GGGUCGAUCCGAGAGGAGCUGAGAAAUGGCUACCACAUCCAGGAAGGCAGCAAGCGCGUAAAUGCCCGAAUCUGGCACAGGGAGGUAGUGACAAGAAAUAACAAUACAGGGCCCUCUGAGUCUUGUAAUUGGAAUGAGUACAACUUACAUCUCUUCACGAGGAUCAAUUGGAGGGCAAGUCUGGUGCCAGCAGCCGCGGUAAUUCCAGCUCCAAUAGCGUAUAUUAAAGUUGUUGCAGUUAAAAAGCUCGUAGUCGGAUUUCGGGGCGGGGCGAGCGGUCUGCCGAUGGGUAUGCACUGUUCGGCGCGUCCUUCUUUCCGGAGACCGGUCCUACUCUUAGCUGAGCGGGGUCGGGAGACGGAAUAUUUACUUUGAAAAAAUCAGAGUGUUUAACGCGGGCAUCUCGCUUUUGAAUGGAUUAGCAUGGGAUAAUGAAAUAGGACUCUGGUGCUAUUUUGUUGGUUUCGAACACCGGAGUAAUGAUUAACAGGGACAGUCAGGGGCACUCGUAUUCCGCCGAGAGAGGUGAAAUUCUCAGACCAGCGGAAGACGAACCACUGCGAAAGCAUUUGCCAGGGAUGUUUUCACUGAUCAAGAACGAAAGUUAGGGGAUCGAAGACGAUCAGAUACCGUCGUAGUCUUAACCAUAAACCAUGCCGACUAGGGAUUGGAGGAUGUUCCAUUUGUGACUCCUUCAGCACCUUUCGGGAAACUAAAGUCUUUGGGUUCCGGGGGGAGUAUGGUCGCAAGGCUGAAACUUAAAGGAAUUGACGGAAGGGCACCACCAGGAGUGGAGCCUGCGGCUUAAUUUGACUCAACACGCA
rnacentral:rRNA from 1 species